UUACGACCACAUCACGUUGAAACAUCGGUUCCCGUACGAUCACCGGAGUUAAGCAACGUCAAGCCCGGACAGUACCUAGAUGGGUAACCGCUUCGGAAUACUAAGUAUUGCAA
rnacentral:rRNA from 1 species